GAUGAACGCUGGCGGCGUGCCUAAUACAUGCAAGUCGAGCGAACAGACGAGGAGCUUGCUCCUCUGACGUUAGCGGCGGACGGGUGAGUAACACGUGGAUAACCUACCUAUAAGACUGGGAUAACUUCGGGAAACCGGAGCUAAUACCGGAUAAUAUAUUGAACCGCAUGGUUCAAUAGUGAAAGACGGUUUUGCUGUCACUUAUCGAUGGAUCCGCGCCGCAUUAGCUAGUUGGUAAGGUAACGGCUUACCAAGGCGACGAUGCGUAGCCGACCUGAGAGGGUGAUCGGCCACACUGGAACUGAGACACGGUCCAGACUCCUACGGGAGGCAGCAGUAGGGAAUCUUCCGCAAUAGGCGAAAGCAUGACAGAGCAACGCCGCGUGAGUGAUGAAGGUCUUCGGAUCGUAAAACUCUGUUAUUAGGGAAGAACAAAUGUGUAAGUAACUAUGCAAGUAUUGACGGUACCUAAUCAGAAAGACACGGCUAACUACGUG
rnacentral:rRNA from 1 species